UGUGGAAGUGGGAGUCCUGCAGUGCCUGAGAGCUGCUGUAAGAUGGAGAUUUCCAGCACUCUGCUUCACUUCCCACCUGAAUUGCAUUGGUUCAGCACUUUUGAGAACUGUUUUUCCAGCACGUACCAUGCGCAGCUCAGAAGGGCCAGUAGACCUGUCUGAGGACUGAGUUUAUGGGCAGGGAUGUAACAGAUAUUCCCAGCAUGCCUAUAAGUGCUCUUACCUGAAAAAGUUUAGGAGCUAAGAAAGACUUGGAAGAUGACCAGCUUCGCAGUCCUCAUUGCACCUCCUUUAUUCCCAGAACAGAUUCAGGUCUUCUGCUCAGGAUGUCCAGGACUGUGGGUUGGAAAAGCCAAUUCUGUGAUGUUUUCCCAGGCAAUUCCUUUCUACUUCUGCAACUAAACUGAAAAGGUGGACUAAACAGAUUUCUGGAGCAAUAUGGAAGUGCGACAUGUCUCGACUGGGAUUCUAAAGCACCUUUCUUCAAGGUAUUCAGCAACAGGUACAACUUGUACACAGCAAUAACAGCCUGAAGUCUGAAUAAAUUGCUGAUUUUGAAAUAGUGAAUGACAUGCACAUGGAACAAUGUGUGAGGAUAAAAGGAUGGAUUUCGUAGCAUUUUAUCCUCUCAUCAUAGAUACUUGUGUGGGAAUUCUUGCUGCCAGGGAGCUAGCGUGUCUAAAAGCAUCUUGAAGAGUCUUUGACAAGCAGUUCCAGUUUAUAAAUGGAAAGUUUUCAUCACUUUUUUUCUUUUCCCCUUCAUCAUUUCCACAAAAUAGGGAAGUUACAUUUUCUACAUUUUUAAGCUUGAUUUUCUACCCAUCUUUGAUUUCUCCCCUCUAGCAAAAGCAGUUGCCAAAAAAAGAGCAAAAAAAAGACUAAGGAACAGCAAGCGUUCAGCAUCGCACGCAGUACGGAUGCUUUCAGGAUCUGGUGGGUUGGUUGGUUGCUUGUUUUUGUUUUGUUUGUUGGGUUUUGUUUUUAGGGAAGGAUCUGAGAAACGUGAAGUUGUUAAAAGCAAACAAAAAUCUCGAACUGUACACCUCACUGAGGGAAAACGUCCACAUGGGGGGGAAAGAAAGGUUUUAUGCUUUAUUAUUGGAUGCAGUUUAUGCCACAUCACUGUUUUAUAAUGGCUUUGCUCAAAGCAGACUGACAAGCCCAAAAAAAUUUUCAGCCGUUAGAAGAAAUUUCCAAUAGACCUUCAGGAGACCACGGUAUUUCUUCAAUUAACUUUUCUCCUAGAGAAUGAGAAGCUACUUAGAAUUGGAAGCUCAUAUAUAUCCAUUUGCUAUGCAGCUGCUUUCUACUGCAUUUUAUUUCACUUUGAAUAUGGAGUAUUUAAUAAGUAUUUAUAAGUAUUUAAUGUUAAUGCUGGGCUUCCUUUCAAGAAACUCAUGGUAGUGCCUCUUUCAGAGACGCUUUGUUGUGCCAAGUAGAAGGUGGUGGCCCUUGUCACCAGUACUGCAGGCUUUAGGGAUAGCAAUUGCAAGACAUUAUUGCCCUGACAGACAGUUACAUUUUGUGAGCUCUGUGCUCCAAACUAAGGGAAAAUGCACACAUCUCACAUCCAGGGCCUCCAUGCCUGUGCGUGCUUGGAUCAGUUGGAGCUGGAUCUCCCAGACCAGGUCCCAGCUCUGCUGGCUGCCUGCAGUCCCUGGCAGCAAACAGGAAAUUUAGGACCCAGUUAUGGAUUUCUUGAAUGUUCUGGUCUGAUUUAAAACCAGAAAUUUAUCUUCAGAUCAAAAGAAAUCAAACUCCCUUCCCCAAAACAAGAAUUCCCUGAUGCAAACACUUCUUUCUUCCCCUCAUCCUUUAUCCUCCUCUUUUGUCAUUUUGUAUUCAUAUAAAGCAAUACUCCAGUUUAAAGAUUUUUUAACUAGAAAAAAAAAUUUUUUUCAACCCCAAUAGUGAGUAAUAUUCUGACCUUUAGAAUUCAUUUUCAAUGAUGAAGAUCAGAAUAAGUGGUUUAUUCUUGUCUGUCUUGCUCCCUUGAUACAGAGUAAACGACUGCAAUCUCCAAAUUUUUUCUUUCAAAAGCAAGGAAGACAACAACAUGUUCCUGGCUUCUCCAUCCCCCAGUACUCUCAAAAUGCCAAGGCCAAUUUAGGUUGAGGUUUAAACUAUCUGUACUGAGAGUUUUAAGGAUUGAAUCUAUCGCUCUCUAUGCAGCAUUGUAGGAGUAGAUAUUUACAGUAAGAACUCAGUGACUUAUUUAUACUUGAACCAAAGUACUCAGUCCUACUCCUCAUGGAAGCUUUGUAAGCUUAAAAUAACCUGAACUACUGAAUGAAUUAUCCCCGAAGUUCUCUUCAAAUAUCAGAUGACAAAGUGCAGACAGUAAAGUGAAGAUGAUACUCUCAAAGGAACUCCUUGACAUGACGAAGAUAAAGGGCAAGACCAACGUCUCUGGUUAAACAGCUUAAAGAUCAGAGCUAGCUCUGAUUUUCGUUCAGAAGUCAACCUCAUCGCAUAUGAAGCUUCAAAAGGCUUUUGUGACUAUUUUUGGCAAGUGUGGUAUGUUCUUCUGAAGCCCAUCCUACAACACACACAGAUCUAUGCAAGACAGCCCCCUCCCAAAACUGCAGGCCCAUCUGCCACUAAGAAGCAGUCACAGUGAAGUGAGUAAAAGUAAAAUAGUGCACAUUCUCCAGCUAUGAUUUACAUCCUUUUUGUGACAGGGCUUCAUUGCUUCAAGUCAGUCUCCUCCCAGCAGGUAUUAGUUGGCCCCGUCUGACUGCUCAUUCAUCUCUGAAUUUAAGGCAUGUUCCCAAUAGCUUUCAUUUGCUGGGCACACUUUGAAAGCAUCAACAUUCAAAGCAGCAAUCCUAAUGCCUUUGUUUCAAAGGAAGCAAAUAGCCCUGUUGGAGAAAUCAACUAGUCAGCUGCAGUGAAGCAUCCAGCCACCCAUUUUUCAUUCUUUAAAUUAUCCGUACUCGAUGGUUUGGUUUCAGUAUCACUGCAAUCCCCCAGACCUAUUUUAUCCCAGUGACAGUCAAUGGAACACGUUCUUUGUUCCCCAUCCUUGCCUGCUCCCUCUGACCUGCUCCUUGAAUUUGUCUCCCUGCACAGAGGAUGGGAAAUUAAUCAGUUUGAGGUGUGCAGUGACAUAUCCAGCCGUCUCCCUAACGGGCCAUCUGCUAAGUGGCAUUAUCAGAAGAGUUGUGUUUCCUGGUCAUGUUCUGCUUUUGCUGAAUACAGAGCAAUGACUACAAGAGACAGACCCUUUCCUGCCCCCUUUCAGCAGACAUGUGAACCUACACACUUGAUAUGAAGCAUUACAUCUCCUCUGAAGACCUUGUUUGAAUUCCUAGAAUGUGCUCUUUCAUUUUAUUUAUUACCUAGUAACCUAUUCUGCUCAGGCUCUGCCUUCAUUUCAUUUCUCCUAGAGCCAAGUAAAUUUUUGGCACUUAAAACAAUAAUAAAUAUUUUCUACCUGGGUUGGCAUUUUCAUAGCGCACACAAAUCAAUUGCUUGGCAUCCACCAGCAGCAAAGAUACUAUGAAAAAAAAGCACAGUUGACCUCAGGAGUUAACUUUGCACACCAAGAAGGAAUGAAUGGACAAUAAUUUGUUUCAGAGGUUCAUAAAACACAAA